GGCUCAGAUAGAACGCUGGCGGCAGGCCUAACACAUGCAAGUCGAGCGCGAAAGUCUUCGGAUGAGUAGAGCGGCGGACGGGUGAGUAACGCGUGGGAAUCUACCUGGUAGUGGGGGAUAACUCGGGGAAACUCGAGCUAAUACCGCAUACGUCCUGAGGGAGAAAGCGGGGGAUCGCAAGACCUCGUGCUAUCAGAUGAGCCUGCGUAGGAUUAGCUAGUUGGUAGGGUAAAGGCCUACCAAGGCGACGAUCCUUAGCUGGUCUGAGAGGAUGAUCAGCCACACUGGGACUGAGACACGGCCCAGACUCCUACGGGAGGCAGCAGUGGGGAAUAUUGGACAAUGGGGGCAACCCUGAUCCAGCCAUGCCGCGUGUGUGAAGAAGGCCUUCGGGUUGUAAAGCACUUUCAGCGGGGAGGAAGGCAUCGUGACUAAUAUUCACGGUGAUUGACGUUACCCGCAGAAGAAGCACCGGCUAACUCCGUGCCAGCAGCCGCGGUAAUAC
rnacentral:rRNA from 1 species